rnacentral:rRNA from 1 species
CGGACGGGUGAGUAACGCGUGAGCAAUCUGCCCUUAGUGGGGGAUAACAGCCGAAACGGCUGCUAAUACCGCAUAACGCAGUGAAAUCGCAUGAUUUUGCUGCCAAAGAUUUAUUGCCUUUGGAUGAGCUCGCGUCUGAUUAGCUAGUUGGCGGGGUAACGGCCCACCAAGGCGACGAUCAGUAGCCGGACUGGGAGGUUGAACGGCCACAUUGGGACUGAGACACGGCCCAGACUCCUACGGGAGGCAGCAG